rnacentral:lncRNA from 1 species
AGGAAUGAGCUACACUAGCCCAAUAAAGAUAUCACACUAUAUCACUGUCACAGAAGUAAAGGUUGGUAGAGAACUAAAAACAACCAAUGGAGCACAAUUUUGAAUAAAUUCAUUUAUCAAUAAUCAAACCAUUUACCGUCCACUUACCUCAGUGGGAUUUAUAAAAACAACCCAUGGAAACAACAACAUCAUAGAUAUCAUGAAUUCAUACAUAAUCUGUAAUAUAGCACAUGUCAUACUUUUAUAUUUCAAUCAUCAAACAACAGUUGUCCCCUUUUUAUCAGCUUACUAGUAUCCAUGGGGAUCCAUAGAGGUCACCGCUACAUGUGAAUCACUCCCUU